GCGGCCGCGAAGGGGCGUGGUCAGGCCCCGGCCUCCCCGGUGACCCAGGAGGAGGGAAGAUGUCACCGGGCCUGCUUCUCUUCCACCGAAUGACCAGUCUCUUCCCUGAGGCCUCCCGAUCCCUCUCCGCGCUUUCAACCUAAGAAGACUCCGAGAUCCCGCAGCUUCCCUGGGUCACUCCCCGCACCCAUUAGGCCUCUCCAGACGUGAGCAGCGAGGGCGCAAAUGUCAGACUCUUCCCAGAGAGGUUCCCGCCGAAUUAGGACGCACCUGGAAGGGCUGCCCCGGUCUAGAGACUGUGUGCAAGUUUCUUUAUUCUCUCUUCCAGUACCUGCCAUGAACCAGAGGUUUGAAAGCAGCAGGGGAAACCGGAACAACAUAGCUGCAGAGGGUAUGCAGAGUAGGGGCAAUGAAUAGAGUGGUCGAUCAAGGAAAGUCUUAAGAGAGGCUGCACACUGGCAUUUUUUUAAAAUUGCAAACGCAUGGCAGGAAGGAAUGCAAUGACUACUACAAUUCGGUGCCACUGUCUCACUCCUGCUAAGUUGCCAGCAGUUUUGCCACCAUUGCUUUUUGCAUCAUCAGUGCAAAUGUCAACACAGUUAAAAAGGCAAAUAACAUCUCAGUAUUAUUAUAGUAGUUUUGUCCCUAAGGACUCCAGGGGUUCAUGGACCAUGUGCUGACAACCACUAUCCUAAAGGGAAAAGGCGGCAGGGGUAGAUGGAAAAGUAGAGGUUAUUGGGCACAGUUGUGUUUGGCAGGUGGAAUUACUGGGCUAACAAGUGUUCCUGCUGUUGAGGGUCUGGCCCACUUCUAGGUCAUCCUAAUAGGCAAGGGGGGCCAAGUCACUUUGGAAGCCAUAGAUCUAUUUAGGGGAUGGAUCUCUCAAUCCACUGUCAAAUCCCAGUCCAAAUGAAUACAGUGUGGGUUGGGAAGUUUGGGCUAGAUCUUCCAGGAUCACUGAAAAUUAGAUGGUUCCAUUAAGUUCAGUGUUGAUGGUCUGUUACGUGCCGAGAACUGGACAAGUUACAGAGGAGGAAACAGAAAUGAUUAAGUUGUGGCCUCUGUCCUAUAGAAGUAUAAUAAUAAAAAUAUAUAGAAAUAAUAAAAUAAUAAUAGAAUGUAGGAAGUCAUAAGUAUUAAGUGAGGUUCAAAGUGCUAUGGGAGCACUGAGGAAGAAAUGAAUUAUGACUGGAGAAAUCAGGAAAGUUUUUUUGAAAACUUGGGCCUUAAAGGAUGAGUAAAAUUUUGAGAGGAGAGAGGGAAAUCAAAAGUUCUCAAUAGUCUUGGGUGAACUGAGAGCAUUCUGUGUAAGAGAACUACAGCUAGUAAAUGAGCUGUGCUAACUCUUCACCUUUCCAUCCCAUGAUUUUAACUUGUUUUUGUUCAAGGCGUUGAUUUCCAGUUUAUCCUUUCAGGACCAACAUACAGAGACUCAUGGCAUCAGACAUUCAUUUAUCCAUAAAAUAGUCCAAAAUUUACAAAAGGAAUUUCUUCAUGGUUCUUUUGUAAUAAAAAUUCUCUUUCUGUCUGCACUGUGGAGAAAGAAGCCCUCUUUCAGAUCUCUCAAUUCAAUACCCUAAACAUUUAGUGACUGCCUACUACGUGCAGGAUAUAUGUUAUUUUCUACGAGGGGUACCAAAGUAAAAACACAGCCCCUGCCUUCACAGAGCUUAGAGUCUCAGAGGAGUCAAAUGUGUACGUAGUUAAUGGCAAAGCAUAUUAUAGGCUCUGUAAAAGAUACAGUGUGAUGGCGAUCAGAAGAGGAAGACUUUAACUUCAGUGGGGAAAUCUGGAAGACUUCAUGGAAGCAAUGUCUCAAAUAUGAAUAGACUUGCCAUAGGCAGUGAUGAAUGAAGGAGGAUAGUCACUCAUCAUGAGACAAGUCCACUCGAGCAAAGAUGAGGAAACCAAAACUCCCAGAGGGAACCUUGCCUAAGACAGCACAACCAGGGAGCCAUAGAGCUGAUGCCCAAAUCUUCUGAUCAUGCAGGGACUGAGGACACUCUUCAUCACACCCCAAUUGCUUCUUUGGUUGCAACUCCUACCAUGUAGCAUCUCUUCCUUACAAAGUGACUGACACUCCCCUUCUCCUGGGAUAGAGCCUUCCUUGACUGUAAAGGAAUCAGUGACUUUUGUUCUCUUGUUCCCUGACCACAGCACCAUUUCUGCUCAUAGAGUAUUGUUUGGUGCCUUACUGAAUGUCUCACCUUGUGAGGGUGUUAGCCAGAUGGUCUUUUUUCCUUCUUCAUUUUCUUCUUUUUUUUGGCCAUGCCUUGCGGCUUGUGGGAUCUCUGUUCCCUAACCAGGGUUUGAACCUGGGCCACAGUAGUGAAAGCCCAGAAUCCUAACCACUAGGCCAACAGGGAACUUCCCAGAUGGUCUUCUGACAAAGGGUAACAUUGUAAUGUUUGUACAGGUGAGGCCAAGCCUGCGGCAAUUCUGUAUGGUGAAGCUGAGGACAGACAGGUCACAGGCCCAACUGUGGGCACUUCGGAAUCUCCCUGAUGGUUGCUGGGUCUAGGCCAAGGGUCAUCUCCCUCAGGGACACCCGUGUAUGUCCAAGGCUUGCAGUGGCAUACCAGACCCCAGUAACUCCUCAGCUGUUGGAACUCUCCUUCCCUCCCUGGGAAUCCUCUGUCAUUUCCUCCUGCUCCCCACAAACUUCCUACUCUGACCCUUUGUUUCUUGGCACCCCUCAUGUUCUCUUAACCACCAAUUCACUUAGCAUCUGGAAUUCUUAGUAAUAGUAAUCACAAAAGCCACCAUUUACUGAGGGUUUUUAAAGUACCAGGCAUAGACAAUGGAGGUAACUGAGGCUUAGAGAUGUUACAUAAAUCUGUCCAACGUCACAUAAAUAUUAAGGUACAGAUCAGCAUAUCUAAUAGAAAUGUAAUUUGAGCCACGUUGGUAAUUAAAAUUUUCUAUUAGCCAAAUUAAAAGAGAAAAGAAAC